rnacentral:lncRNA from 1 species
ACACCUCCAAAUCCUCCAUUGAAAGAGUGGGUCCAAAACCUUGUAGUGCGCACGUAUGUAGCAGGGUUUUUCCUUUGGUUUUUUGCUUUCUUUACCGUAGUGGAAGAUGGUGAAGCAGAUUUAUCCAUAUUGAAGGAAGAAAAGGAGAGAGAGAGUCAAUUAUAGCAUUGAUGUUGUUACUGAAAGAAAGAAAGAAAGAUUGGCUUUUAAGCUUUCCUUGUCUUGACUGCCAAAUGAGAUGAGUAUCGGUUCGUUGCAUCAUGAUGUCAGAGGAGAGAAGGAAGGAAGGAAGGAAGGAAUGGUUAGAGUGCAAGCAAAGGUGGGGAGUUUUACCUUUCAAUUUUGAUUUUGCAUUUGUAAUGAAUCUUCCUUGUGUCUCUUCACAGCAACAUUCAAAGAUUUUGCAAAACAGGCCACUCUUUCCUAAACUCAAUACAUGGCUUUGCUUUCUUCCAAGUAAUUAACCCAUUUUUUGACCAUAUCCAAACUCAUCUUCUACACAUAUAAAUACCAAAUGACCGGAUUUUUUUAUGGAAUAAAAUGCUCUGGGCCAAGUCGGCGACACGAGAGAGCCUGCCACUGAUAUACUUUGUUUGAGAGGUGGAGGCUCGGACAGCUGACUCAUGAAGCAGGAACACCAUCCUUUUACCCAUGUCCUCCAAUUCUAGCUAUAUUUUGUGAUUGAUUGAUUGAUUAGAGCCCACUUUAGACCAAGUACAGAAGCAA